UAGAAAAUAAUAGGAAAACAUAUUCUCUUCAAAAUUAAAGACGCACGCCGGUCGCCAAUUUGAAGGUGAGGCACGCCGUAGCAAAACCUACGGGCUUAACACUAACGCUGCAACAAUCUCCGCCAGUUCACCCUACCACGGUCUCCGACCAUCCCCAGGUUUCAAUAUUGUUGCAGAAAUCAUUCUUCUCCUUCAAUUUCUUGUCUAUCGGCAAAAAAUUUCUGCUUACCAGGUCCCCGACGCCAACAGCGGCCAUGAACAAGUAACACAAACAUCAAGGAUACCUAGUAUUGCUGAAAAUACUUCACUUUCUCACGGUCAUACAGUCUGAUGAUCGAUAAUUUAGCGGGUCAAAGAUUUCAAUAUGAUGAAGAGCUGCAAAUAUUACUUGAAGAUUAUUAUUCGUUGGAAUUAGUCAUAUAAUGACAUUAGCUAUUUACUUCAAACAAUAUAUGCUUUUUUUAAGUUACUGUGAUAUUAAUAUUUUGGAUUAGUACUUUCUUUUGUUUGUUAAAAUUUAAUGAGAUACAUUAUGUUUUAUGACUUAAUAUUAGUAUGUUUUGUUAUUUGAAACUUUUUUUGAAUGAAUG